GAUGAACGCUGGCGGCGUGCUUAACACAUGCAAGUCGAGCGAACAGAUGAGGAUUUUGUUCCUCUGUCGUUAGCGGCGGACGGGUGUGUAACACGUGGAUAAUCCACCUAUAAGUCUGGGAUAAUCUCGGGAAUCCGGCGCUUAUCCCGUAUAAUAUACUGAACCGCAUGGUUGAAUGGUAAAAGACGGUUUUGCUGUCACUUAUAGAUGGAUCCGCGCCGCAUUAGAUGGUUGGUAAGUUAACGGCUUACCAAGGCAACCAUGCGUAACCGACGUGCCGGGGGGGUAGGCCACACUGGAAGUGAGACGGGGUCCAGACUCCUGCGGGAGGCAGCAGUAGGGAAUGUUCCGCAGUGGGCGAAAGCCUGACAGAACGGCGGGACGUGUGUUGUGAAGAUCUUGGGAUCGUGAAGCUCUGUUAUGAGGGAAGAACAAAUGUGUAAGUAGAUAUGCACGGCUUGACGGUACCUAGUCAGAAAGCAACGGCUAACUACGUG
rnacentral:rRNA from 1 species